ensembl:lncRNA
AAGCACUCAGCCUCUGCCUUCCCUGAUGACCGCUGUGGGUUAGUGGUUUAACAGGAAGGAGUAUUACAGUAGUGAAUGAGGAAAAAAAGAGUAUGUGCAGUCAGAAGGAGCAUUUAAAUGAAGUUUGCUCUCAGAGAGAUGAGAGCAAAAGAACAAUAUCCUAUCUACCUUGGGAUAAAAUAGACUUGAAUCAUCACAGCACAAAAAUGCAGAUGGGGUCCGGCCGCAGCAAGUUACAUCUUGAAAUGCUUGUGUUCAGUUUACUGUAAUGAAUUCUGGAUUCUACAGCUUAUGUUAAAUGGACAAUUUUGCAUAAAAGAAAAAGACAUGGCUUGCACAAAAAAAGUCACAAGAACAACAGAGGACAAAUCAAGUUUGUUUUUAUUCUUAUUGCAUACAAGUUAAAGAGUGCUUCAGAGAUGAACUGAAAACUUGUUCUAAUUAGUGCCCAAAAGCAGAUCAGUAAUUCAUCUGCAUAUAUCAUCCUGAACUUUGCUAAUCAUCACAAAUUAAAUUAAUGGCCACACACACCAAAUAAAAAGACUGACUCCAGCAUUUUUCCCUGGGAGAUAUACACUAUUUCACUACAGAUGAUACAGAGUCUCAAUGGAUCCUACACUGUUUAUUCAGUUCCAUCCUAUUGUAUACCACCAUGUUACCAAUUGAGAAAAAUCUAUGGACCAUUGCCUUCAGGAUUCUUAAAGCACAGUAGAUGGCUGGGAUUCAACUUGUGGUGCUACCACUGACGUUCUGUGUAAGGCCUGUAUAUGCAGACAAGUAAUUUUCCAGAAAUAGAAUUUGUUGCUUUAUCUAUUCAGGGUAAACUGUUUGUGCAUUAUUGAUCUUGUAGGCAGACAUAACUACAUGGGAAAACACAGUAGCGAAAAAAGUUGGAGUUUGUUUGACCUUUUCAGUAUUUGAUACAAUUUUAAUUGUACAAAACAUCUAUAAAUAAGAAAAUAAUUCUGUAAAUUUCCAGAUCAAAGCUGCAAGCAGUUGCAUUGCUUGUUCUGGUGCUUACCUUGAAGAAGAUUAUAACCUCUUCAUAAAUUCAUGUAAUUUGUGGACAUCUAUGGCAAUUAUACUGUGUUGACACAUUAAAUUGAUUAUACAAGACAAACUCUAAUUAAAUGGCAGCCUUCCAAUUUUAACAAAGCUAUAAUUUAUUUUUUGAAUGCUUUCUUAUGUGGUUCAUUUUCUCCUUCCAAUUCUGAUUUUGUUUUUCUUGACAUCUGUUUUUGGUAUUAUAGUGGCCUUUGACUUGCUGAACCUCCCAGGUACUACUGCAGUGUAGAGGGAAAUAAAUAAGGGGCAUCAUGCAUGCAUCAGGAUUCUUCUAGAUGUGGCUUGUAUCACUCAAAAAUAUUUUUCAAAAGAUGUGCAUUUUUUACCUUUCUCUUGAUCCUUGCAUAUCCAGCCAUCCACUUUCAUUUUCUGAACAUCACUUUAAACCAGACACUGUUUUUGUGGACCUUAAUACGUUUUUACAGUGCACAUGAUAUUCAUCUGCGUAGCACAGAAAUGUUAAUUCAAGCACUAGAACUGGCUACCUAGCAAAGUGGCUGAUGCCCCAUGCCUGUCAUUGUCCAAGAGGCAUUCAGAUAAUGCCAUCAAUAACAUGCUGUAACUUCUGGUUAGCUCUGAAAUGGUCAGGAAGCUGGACAGGAAGAUCCUUCUACUGUGCCUUCCAUCUGAACUUUUUUAUUCUACUCUACUGUACUCUACUCUGUUCAACAUUUCCUGCUAAAUAUCAUUUUCUGUGUUAUCAUUUUUGUGAUAAAUGCUAAGGCUAAACACAGGAAGCUUGAAAAC